ACUGAUCACAACUUGUUUGUUCUGUAAUUUUAAUAAAGUAUUUUCUAAAGGUAUUUCAAAGAUGUUUGAAAUGGGAAAGCUCUACUAAGUAGUCAGUGAGUUCUCUAUUUUAAGCAAAACUGUUGUACUGUACUCUUUCCCCCGGCGCGUCUCCCCUCCCAUAUCUUGUCCACUUUGAAGUCUCCCAGUCACUACCUUUUGAGAUGUCUGGGGUUGUAGAAUAAUCUGUGUUCGUAAAAACUUUCCUUUAUAUUCAGUGGUGAUGUCUCAUUCAUUUAUCACAUUAUUUGCCACAUACCACUUUAUGCUGUUCAAAAAGAUUAGACAUUUACAUGGAUAAUGAGAACAUCCACAGCUACACUGGAUAGCAUUAACAUCUUAUACCUUGAAGGUACCUAUAUAAGAUAGCUAUUAUGGCAUUGACCAGAUUUGACAGCCUAAUAACUUUUAGGAUCCCUUUAAUGUAUGUGUGGGUGAGUUGUGCAUUAGACUACUGCUCCCAACAGUACAGGUGUUAUCACUACUGCUGGAUUUGUAUUUCCUUUAUGGAAGGCUAAAUACCAUUUUUGUGUAUCUCCACCAGUGCAGUGCCAGUGUAUAUGACAAGUGCUGACACAGUCUCAGCUGUGAAAAGACUCCCCUCCCCCAUCCUUCCAGAAUACAUCGAUCACUGCUUAGGUGGCAAAUUUAAUUAAAUUCCUGUUUUGUUUUUGUUUUUCUUACUGGCCCAAAAGUGAAGUAUUUUGGAAGCACCUUAACUUACAAAUCUUGUAUGUGCUGCAUACAUCAUAAAUCUUGAGUAUCUUUCUUGUCAGUAUCCACUUUGUGAUCAAUUUAUAUUGUUUAGCAAGCCAGUUCUAGAGCAUGUCUUGAAAUUAUAUCAGCUUGUUUCUCGUAGGCCCAAGCUGGACACCCAUGUAUACCUGGGGCAAGCAGAAGAUGUGGGUUCCAGUGGCAAUCUAUAAUUUAACAAAAGCAUUUUGAUGCAUGGUCAGAUAUUUGAACACCUGGCUGAACUGAGUAUUGCUUAGAUGUAGUAAACUGUCGGGGGGGGGGGAGAAGAAAUAGGCUGAAGGUUCAGUAUAACAGUCUCUGUGAUGCGAACAAUGCUAUGAAGUUUUGGAAGAAAACCUGUACCUUUAUGAUGAACUAACCAUAUUCUUGGUGCACUCUUAUUAUGGAGCUAGAGAUAGUGUUGAACAGAACCAAGAACCAGACUGAGGGACCAGGGGGAGGAGACUGCUAACCCAAAAUGUAUGGGGCAGGGUCACUAGCUGCAAGAGACCAUAGCAGAAUCCUAAAUGUCUUCAGAGAAUCUCAAACUAAGAAGCUUCAGGAGGAUGAUUGCUUGGGAGAUGAGACACCCCUCUCCACAAGUGUUGAUCAUGACAAGGCCAUGAAAGUGCAAGAGAGAACCAUACAUCUGACACUUAAAGUCCAGAGCUCUUGACCAGUCAGGGGAGGAGGAAGACGAAAAUGAGAAGCAUGAUUUCUAGAUUUGCAGAGGAACACGAAAAGGGACUCUGAUAGACUAUUUAAAUUAGGGGAGGAAAAAACAGCUCUCUGUUGCAAGAUAAGGCAAAAGAAGAGACAAUGGCUUACAUCCAUUGUGAUAGGAAAAAUUAAAGCUGCCUGAACAAGAUUUCCAUAGGGUGCUUGAGUGAGAGUUUUCAAGGGCAUAGAAACUAGUGCUGUUAUCUCAGCAACAGGCCCUGUGUGUGUGUGUGUGUGUGUGUGUGUUUUGCCUUCUAAGCAAAACUGCAUGAUACAAGACCAUAGCAUCUGUUAUUGAAUUGCCCUAUACUCUUCUCUCAUGUACAUUUCCACAAUACUCCAUCCUUGCUAGAGAGCAGGGGGAAAAGAACUUAAAUCCCUUGGACAUGCAUUUCAUGUCCCAUAAACCAUGUUUUCCUUAAUGUUUUCUUGCUUUGCACUACAUACCUAAUGCAUUUGUCCUACUAAUUUAUGUGUAAUAAAACUGAUUUGCAAAUUGCA